GUGUGGUUUAGUGAUUAGAGUGUCAGAUUCUAAAAUCUGGGAGACCAGGGUUCAAAUCCCCAAGGGGCCAUGAACA